UUAGAAAUGAGGCACGUCCUACUUUAGGACACGUCCCACCUGCCUAUAAAUUAUAGUACCUAUUUAGCAAUCUUUAAGAGUUGAGCAGAGAAACCGAAGAGAGAAGAGUUGAGUUGAGAGCCAGAGAAGCAGAGUUAGAGAAGUCAGAGUAAAGUUUGAAGAGUUACAAGCUUACUUGGAGCUGUAUUUCUUUAAGCCCCGGAGACGAGAUCAGACUUAUCACCGCAUGUGUUCGAUAGUUGGACGAGUUGAUUGUAAUAAACGCUGUUAAAUCAAGCUUGGAUGACUGUUCUACACUGUGGUUGACACUAAAACGAGCCCACUGCACACUUCCCACAAGUCGCUGCUUUGGAACCGCUUACAGUGAUAAGUCUGGUAGAAAACAACGUUGGAAGGUAGGCCCUUUCAAGUUUAUACCGAGAUGAGCGAGAGAGGAGAUCCCGAACGGCACGGCGCUGAGACAGGCCGAAUUACACGCCGAACCACAAAAA